GAAAGAAGACUCAAAAUAAGAAGUAACCACAAAAUAAGAGACAGAGAAUGCUGAUUCACUAUGCAGUGAAACAUGCCUAACGUGUCAACAGCUAAUGCCCGGUGACAGAGUGGUUGUCUGGGCAACAGAAGAAGUCACCCACGCAAACACUUAAAGAAUACUUGCUGAAAAGCCGGUAUCUCAUAAAAGACAAAUGCAUGAAACUACCAGGAACUUAGGAAGUCCAAGGGAAUCUGAGAAAAAUCAUAACUUGAAAUUAGGAUCAUCCUCUGCAUGUGAAGGAACAGAGAAGCACUCAGCUCUACCCUUUGGAGCAGGGGAUUGGACAGCAUGAGCCUUCAAUCAUAUCUCUUGGAUGACCAAGGAAGGCUGGAUUUGUGCACCUAAAAAAUGGAAGCACAAACUGUACAACAAAUAUUCUCCGUUCAAGUUGAAGUUCUCAAAUAAGGUAUCCAAUUAACUGAUAUAUUAAUAACAUUUAAAAUAAUAAUCUCAUAGGAAGAUUCCAAAAGUUUCUGAUUUUAUAUCUAGCAAAGACUUCAUAAACUAUGUUUGAUUUGUAUGUAGAACUCAGGGUGAACAUGCCAAUGACAGUGGCAAUGAGAGGGGUAACUGGGGGCCAGAAGUAGUCUGAGGGAGAGGAGAGGAGGGGGUAGAGCAUGCUCAGGGAACCAUGAGCCAUGCAGGAUAAGCAACAGGGC
rnacentral:lncRNA from 1 species